GAGGGAGAGGAAGAAGGGGUGAGAGGGAGAAACCUGCCGCCGCUCGCCGCCUCUUUGUCUGCUCCGGGACUGGGAACAAAAGGGGGAACUCUGAUGAACUCUCUCUCCUCCCCUCUCCCCCGGACGCCCGGGUAUCUCCCUCUCGCAACUUUGCCUACGCGACUUUCUCUGCUGUCAGGCCACAAAAAAGUGUCCUAGAGCCUCGCCGACUGCAACAAGGGAAACCACGUCUCUCCAAAGUGCGACCAAGUGGGGAAGAAGGUGUGAUUCUUGUGAGCCUCUAAAAGCAUCAUGCAGUGGCUGGGGGACCUCUGGAGUUGACCUUCGGUGUCCUGCAGCGUUCUCACUGGAUCUAUCAGGGGGCCACCUGGAUCGCCAGUGCAUCAGAUCCUUCCUGGAUUGGAGUUGCUUCAGAGUUACCCUGUUGGGAUUUGGGGCAAUGCCUUCCUCCUGUGGAUUACUACACCCUGGUGACUGGGAGUCCUCCACCUGGAAAGCACCCAGGGGACGGGGACGGCGAAGAGCUCGCACAUCGGCCUAUCCAGGGAACCCCGCUGAAGAGAGGGUGUGCGAGUCUUCCCCAGGGGCUCUGAAGUCCGCCCGCCUCACCCUCUGGGCGCCCGUACCUUCUCUGGGUGGCAUUUGUUCCAGUGACAUACUCGGACUUCAGAGACCACAGCCUUCUGAAAGCAGAGCCUUUAGACCGGGAAUUAAAUAA
rnacentral:lncRNA from 1 species